rnacentral:lncRNA from 1 species
AGUUACUCUAAUAGUGACGCUGAAAAUACUAAUAGUCAUAGCACUUGUCUAUCUUUCAUAGGCUUGACCUUGUGCUGAGAAAUUAUGCACAUUGUAUUAGUUAAAAUUCACAACAACCCUAAAAGGUUCAGACUGUUAUUAUCCCAUUUUACAGAUGAGGAAACUGAGGCCCAGAGAAACAUGCAACUUGCCCAAGGUGACAUAUCUAGUGAGGAGUGCAGCCAAGACGAGUUGAGGGUCUCAGCCUCGUGGUUCCAGGAGUGAUGGCAAUGAGGAGCGCCUAAAGCCUUUGUAGACCUGGCCUUAUGUGUGUGGCACCCUCCAGAGAGCCCAAGGAAUAACUGUGUGUCACCUAAGACAGCCACUCUGUGGACCACAUCCGGGUGGAAGGAGAGCACCUCCAAAUUUUAAACUGCUUCUCAGCAUGCAUCAGAUAAACAAAUAUUGUUUGAAUUUCAACACUGUACCAGCGUUUGUUGCAGCCCUUUGGCGGCUUUGAGGAAAAGGGAUUUCAAAGGAAGUCUGGAGGCAGAGAAACUAGGGGGAGGCUGUUGCAAGGAAACAUAGGAGAGGCAACAAUGGGUGCAAGAGGGCUUAGAGAUGAGACAGGGUAGGGAGGUCAGAAAAGGCGGAGCCGAUCUUGACUGUGUGUGAACAGGGAGCAAGGAGCGAAGCUGUUAGCCAGGAGAGAAGGAAGGAGCCCAGCAGGCUGCUGAGAUGUCUUGGUUGGGGGAUCGGGCAGGUGAACUUUCAAAGUCUUGAUACUCAUGAGUAAUUCCCUUUGGAUUCGUAUCAAACAACAGCCAUUGUCCUCCCCAGAGGGCUUGCGGCUAAACAUUUACUAGCACUCGACGGACUGCAUCCCCCAGUCAGCAAUUUCCAGUACAGACUUCAGAAAACCGUAUCCUGACUUUGAAAGUGGAGAUACAAAGUGAAGUACAUUAGGAUCUUAGCAAGAAAGUUUAAUGCCAGGAAGAGACGUUUAAGUUAUACAAAAAAGAAUACAUCAGAUUUCAAAAGGCAGAGAUGGCAUCAUGGUCUAGCCCUGUCUCCACUUUCAUCUUGGGGUGCUUUCCACACUUGGCUUCCCUCGGAGCCUUUAAUAUGCCCAGUUAACGUGUCAAGCCUUUCGUUCUCCUGAACAGCUUUCCCAGCCCUUACCUGGAUGGGCCCUCGGUGGCGCUCUUGAUCUCUCUGAUAGAAAUCGGUCACUUCCUUUUAUUGUCCUUGUCAUAGUUUGCCAUUGUCCAUUGAUUCAUUUGUUGCUUGUUUUUAUUUGGCCUCAGCCUCUGUUGUGGCGUCCCCACAAAGCGGGGAUGAUGACUGUUACUGAUGGUGGCUUUGACAAGCACGACUCCACUCUAGGCCUGACACACCACCUGGAGCAGGUCGUCCCUAUUUGUUCAGUAAUUAUGUUGAAUAAAUGGUGACUGUGAAGAAGGGCAUCAGUUACAGAGGGGAAAGUUGCAGAUACUCUGACAAAUGGUCUGGUGACUGAACUUAGACGUUAUGAGAUGGAGAGUGGAAGAUCGGACUCAGAGCUGGCGGGGGUCUGAUCCAGGAAGCCCCUCCAAUGUUGUAUGAGAGACUUGGACACCCAUCCAUGUGUGACAAAUGUGCAGCCGUCCGUGGAUCUGAAUCAAGAGAGAAGCGGCCUUCCUAGAACUUGAACAGCUUCCCUAUAACCUGGAGAAUCAUACCGCCUGUGUUGGAAGGUGAAGCAGAUCCCCUAUGUGGCUUAAGGUUGCCCUUGGCUGUGAAACGCCAUGGCUAGAAUGUGGCUUUUUCUUCUUCAAAAAGAGGGAACUGGAUAAAAUCAUGCUUUAUGAAGAAAAGAGUCACCAGGAAUGAACCAAGAAGUCAGAGAACUUAGACUCAAGAGACGAGAGUCUUCAGUGACAACAUCAACAUCCCCAAUACCCCCCAUCAGGAUGCCACCCAGGACACCACAUGAAGGAAGUUGUCCAAUCUCCCUGGGCUUGACUCUGCUCUGUGACACUUUCUCAAAUUUCCCUUGUUUUUGAUCACCUUGACAAUUUUGAGGAGUGCUGGUCAGAUAUUUUGCAGAAUAUCCUUCAAUUUGGAAUGAAGAAGUGAUAUGUGGAGGUGUAGCAGCCAUUCCGUGACCUGGACAUGGUGAGCAUGAAGAUAAAAGCCAAUGCGUAAAAGACAGCCGAGUAAAGAGUAGGACAGGCGCCUUGUCCCUGAUUGCAUCACAAGGCUGCUGCCCAGGCUCUGAAAUUGCAAUUUUCCUCCUUGAAGUACCACACAAGACUCAGCUGGAUUUCAAGGCUUUCUUCUUUCUCUUCUCAAGUCGAUGUAAACAAGAACAGAAUGACACAUUCACAGCCAGCUUCGCAUCUUGUCAUCUAGGUGGCCCAGGCACAGGAAAUCCAGGCCCCCAGUCUGCCUUCAUGUAGGGCUUAUUCAAAAUGGAAUGUGCUCAUGUCACCCCAGGAUUGAAACUUCUCCUGAUUCAGGGUGGCUCCCUGCCAAUGAGCAACGAGUGUACCUCAUGACGUGGCGGGAAUAGCCGGAAGUCCGCGGCUGCAGCUGGGGACAAAUAAAUGAGCCCCAGAUCCCUCGUGCUCUGGUAUCUUCCUGUCACCCUCCCUUCCUCUCUUAGGGACAGGCACUUUAUUCUGAAGUGAUCAAUCACAAUGAGUUGACCUUUGUAUUUAUGCUAGACUGUUCGCAUUAAGGGAUGUGCAUGUCCUCCCAAAGAAACGUUCAGUGUCUCCGUAACUGAUGCAUUUAUGAGACUCAAAUAAAAAAAGUUCUUUAAAGCACAGAAAGUGUCUGGGACGUGGGCCUGGCGAGGCCUCCCGCGGACGUGUUGACCAUGGCGGGCAGAGGUCUCUUGGCACAUCUCCUCCCAUCUCAUGGCGAAAAAUCUGGAGCUAGAUGAAAACCACCAACUCACACAUUCUGAAUCUCUAAAAUGUUUACUUCUAAAAUCGGAGCAUUGCAUAUAUUUAACUCCCUAGGCAUCUUUUCCAUUGAAAUUUAAAGUACAGCUAGAAGAUAAGGUUGUUUAUACUGGACUAUAGAAGCGUU